GAUGAACGCUGGCGGCGUGCCUAAUACAUGCAAGUCGAGCGAACGGACGAGAAGCUUGCUUUUCUGAUGUUAGCGGCGGACGGGUGAGUAACACGUGGAUAACCUACCUAUAAGACUGGGAUAACUUCGGGAAACCGUAGCUAAUACCGGAUAAUAUUUUGAACCGCAUGGUUCAAAAGUGAAAGACGGUCUUGCUGUCACUUAUAGAUGGAUCCGCGCUGCAUUAGCUAGUUGGUAAGGUAACGGCUUACCAAGGCAACGAUGCAUAGCCGACCUGAGAGGGUGAUCGGCCACACUGGAACUGAGACACGGUCCAGACUCCUACGGGAGGCAGCAGUAGGGAAUCUUCCGCAAAGGGCGAAAGCCUGACGGAGCAACGCCGCGUGAGUGAUGAAGGUCUUCGGAUCGUAAAACUCUGUUAUUAGGGAAGAACAUAUGUGUAAGUAACUGUGCACAUCUUGACGAUACCUAAUCAGAAAGCCACGGCUAACUACGUG
rnacentral:rRNA from 1 species